rnacentral:misc_RNA from 1 species
AAAAAGAGGAGAAAAAGGAAUGGAAAGGAAAGGAAGAAGAAGAAGAAGGACAGAGAAGGGAAAGAUGGUUUAGUAGUUAAACCCCAUCAUUGCUGCUGCUUCUAUUUUCUCUCUAACCAAACACACCCUUUCUAAUCAUCUAUUCUCUCACCAAAACCACGCACAUUCUUUCUUUCUUUCUUUCUUUCUUUCUUUCUUUCUUUUCCCACCGUCCUUCACGUUUCCUUCCUUCACCUUUUCUCUUUCUUUCCUUCCGCUUUCUCACAAAUCCCAUAUGAAACUCUUGCUAUGUCCCGUGACUCCAACUCUACCUUCUUCGCUCUCUACCCUUUCUUCUCUUUUCAUCUCAUGAGUAAUCCUUUUUCUCUGUUUUCCUUCUAUUUUCUGCUCAAAGUUACCAUCACC